rnacentral:other from 1 species
UGACCCCUGCCCUGCUCGUGGAGGCCUGUUACUUUUGAGCCAACACUCAGCGAACGGGAUUCCAGCCGAGGGUACGGUGAGCAUGUUCGCGUCAAGCGAAAAGCCUGAAGUGCCCCGCAGGAGGCCCACCUGGUCGAGCAGGUUCAAAAGCUGAACUUGACCACGGCAAAGGGCGGGGGUUUU